GAUGAACGCUGGCGGCGUGCCUAAUACAUGCAAGUCGAGCGAACGGACGAGAAGCUUGCUUCUCUGAUGUUAGCGGCGGACGGGUGAGUAACACGUGGAUAACCUACCUAUAAGACUGGGAUAACUUCGGGAAACCGGAGCUAAUACCGGAUAAUAUUUUGAACCGCAUGGUUCAAAAGUGAAAGACGGUCUUGCUGUCACUUAUAGAUGGAUCCGCGCUGCAUUAGCUAGUUGGUAAGGUAACGGCUUGCCAAGGCAACGAUGCCUAGCCGACCUGAGAGGGUGAUCGGCCACACUGGAACUGAGACACGGUCCAGACUCCUACGGGAGGCAGCAGUAGGGAAUCUUCCGCCAUGGGCGAAAGCCUGACGGAGCAACGCCGCGUGAGUGAUGAAGGUCUUCGGAUCGUAAAACUCUGUUAUUAGGGAAGAACAUAUGUGUAAGUAACUGUGCACAUCUUGACGGUACCUAAUCAGAAAGCCACGGCUAACUACGUG
rnacentral:rRNA from 1 species